rnacentral:rRNA from 1 species
UGGGGAAUAUUGCACAAUGGGGGAAACCCUGAUGCAGCGACGCCGCGUGAACGAAGAAGGUAUUCGUAUCGUAAAGUUCUGUCCUAUGGGAAGAUAAUGACAGUACCAUAGAAGAAAGCUCCGGCUAAAUACGUGCCAGCAGCCGCGGUAAUACGUAUGGAGCGAGCGUUGUCCGGAAUUAUUGGGCGUAAAGGGUACGCAGGCGGUUUAAUAAGUCGAAUGUUAAAGAUCGGGGCUCAACCCCGUAAAGCAUUGGAAACUGAUAAACUUGAGUAGUGGAGAGGAAAGUGGAAUUCCUAGUGUAGUGGUGAAAUACGUAGAUAUUAGGAGGAAUACCAGUAGCGAAGGCGACUUUCUGGACACAAACUGACGCUGAGGUACGAAAGCGUGGGGUGCAAACAGG